CACACUCACACACACACACACACACACGCCAAAUUGUCAUGAUGUUUUGGCCUCAUCUCAUUCCUCGUCAUCUCACACACGCUGUGUUGCAUGUGGACGGCGGAACCAUAAUGUUCCUCUGCCGCUCUGCACCUACCUCCUCUUAGAACCUCUAGAGAACCGCAGCUGUGUGCUUAGAACCGCUGACCCCUGACCCCACGUGACCCCUGACCCCAUGUGUCCGUUAAUACACGAGUCUGAACGCAGGUUAACUCACGAAGAACACAACAGAACUAUACAUUAUCAGGCUUAUUAUACUAUACAUUAUCAGGCUUAUUAUACAGUUACACGACAGAACUAUACAUUAUCAGGCUUAUUAUACAGUUACUUGACAAAACUAUACAUUAUCAGGCUUAUUAUACAGUUAGAUGACAGAACUAUACAUUAUCAGGCUUAUUAUACAGUUACUUGACAGAACUAUACAUUAUCAGGCUUAUUAUACAGUUACUGACAAAACUAUACAUUAUCAGGCUUAUUAUACAGUUACUUGACAAAACGAUAAAAGGCAUUUCUUCAAAAUAUCAGUUUGUAAAUGAUUUUGUUGCUGUUGCCUUCCACUGAGAAAAAAAUAGUUCUUCACGCAAAUAGAUUACUUGCUGAUCUGCUAUGAUAAGUGAACGGACUUCUUGCGGAAUGAUGUGAAAGAUGUGAAUUAGAAGCACAAAACCUGUUGUCAUGGCAGCAGUCAUUAUUCGUUUUCAUUACCUCAAAUGUUGGGAUGGCCCAUUCAAUUCUGCAGCAGUCAGAAGAGCCGGAUAAUAAGUGUGUGUUCAGUCAGAAGAACCGUAUAAUAAGUGUGUGUUCAGUCUGAUCAACUCUGUGUUUGUUAAUACACCACCAUCCUCUUCAUCAGUGUUCUUCAGCCAAACUCAGACAAGGUGUGUGUGUGUGUGUGUGGAGGGGGGGGGGGGCUCCUUAUCCAAACUCAGAAUCACACACACACACACACACUGAUACACAUUCACACACACACACACACACACACACACACACACGUAUACACACACACACACACACACACAC
ensembl:lncRNA